UUGAACACAAUCCUCGUAUGCUCUGAAAAAUCCAUCUUGUAUCACAACAAAAUCUUUCAAUCUCAGUUUUGAAGCAAAAGCUGUCUCAGAUGAACCAAUAAAGACAUCUCUACAACCUCUUCUCCUCCUCCCCUAUCUCUCUCUCUCAGGCCGUUGUUCUCGAGAAGCAAAUUGGCAGAAAUGAUCUUUAUACUUCAAGACACUCCACACCCACAAAAAUAUAGCAGUAGACUUUUUUUUUAUUAUUAUUUCUUAGAUUCC
rnacentral:misc_RNA from 1 species